UGGAGCCAAGGGUCCCUUCCAGUAUCAGCACCAUGGCCUGGACUCCUCUCUUUCUCUUGUUUCUCUCCACUUGCUACCCAGGGUCCAACUCCCAGGCUGUGGUGACUCAGGAGCCCUCACUGACUGUGUCCCCAGGAGGGACAGUCACUCUCACCUGUGCUUCCAGCACUGGAACAGUCACCAGUAGUAAUUAUCCCUGCUGGAUCCAGCAAAAACCUGGCCAAGCCCCAAGAACACUGAUUUAUAAUACAAACAGCAAAUACUCCUGGACCCCCGCCCGGUUCUCAGGCUCCCUCCUUGGGGGCAAAGCUGCCCUGACCCUCUCAGGUGCACAGCCUGAGGAUGAGGCUGAGUAUUACUGCUUACUGUACUAUAGUGGUGCUCGGCACAGUGACAGACUCAGAAGAGGAACCAAGACAUAA